UGACAAGUGUACAGUUUCAAAAUAUAUUUUCUGGUCCCUUUUGUUUAUGAUGAAGCUGCUCAUUGAAAAAUUAUGAUCUGGGUUGUAUUAUUUGGAAAUAUAUUUUGUUCUGGUCACUAAAAAUGGAUUGAUUCCUUAAUUCAACUUUAUUAAGGAUGAAAAUAACAUGUGAUUUGAGCAUACCUUUUUAUCAUGUGCUGCAAACACUAAUUAUUCUAGAAUCUA
rnacentral:misc_RNA from 1 species